CUUGGAGUUGGUCUUCUAUAAGGAGGUUUGCAUUAUGCUUGGCUUACAGUCCAAAUACCUGUGGCUGAAGAGAAUUAAUCAUGGUCACAAAUCGGAGCUCUGUAAAUUAGCAGCAAGUUACCUGUGAAUCACACCUGGCAUUCACAUCACCGCAUCCUGGCCCAAAAGAUCCCAGCGCUCGCUGUCAAGGGAAAUAGCUGGCUUCUGAAGUUACAGCAAUGCAGUAAUUUAGAAGGGAAGCUGAGCUCACAAAAGCUCGAGCUAAUUUUCAGGCCUGGCUGUCAUUCAUCAAGGGUGCGUUCCCACACAAAGCCCAGCCAACAAAGGGAUCCUUGCACUGCCGCACGCCACAUUCCACUGCCUCCCCCUUCUCACCGUGGAAAAGAUGCCUCUUUGUGCUGGAGAUAAGUGAAGAAGGAGGAUUUACAGCAGUAAGCUAUACCAGGGACAUCUCAACUGUAAUUAAAUCCUUUUAUUCACCUUUUCUCCGAUGUGGGCCC